CCAAGUGGUGGAAUUGGUAGACACGCUAUCUUGAGGGGGUAGUGGCGUAAGCCGUGCCGGUUCAAGUCCGGCCUUGGGCACCA
rnacentral:tRNA from 1 species